GUGGGGAAUCUUCCGCAAUGGACGAAAGUCUGACGGAGCAACGCCGCGUGAGUGAAGAAGGUUUUCGGGUCGUAAAGCUCUUUCGUUAGGGACGAACGUGCUCUUUGUGAAUAAUGAGGAGUAAUGACGGUACCUAAAUAAGAAGCCACGGCUAACUACGUGCCAGCAGCCGCGGUAAUACGUAGGUGGCAAGCGUUGUCCGGAAUUAUUGGGCGUAAAGCGCGCGCAGGCGGGAUAUCAAGUCUGUCUUAAAAGUGCGAGGCUCAACCUCGUGAGGGGACAGAAACUGGUAUUCUUGAGUGUCGGAGAGGAAAGUGGAAUUCCAAGUGUAGCGGUGAAAUGCGUAGAGAUUUGGAAGAACACCAGUGGCGAAGGCGACUUUCUGGACGAUGUCUGACGCUGAGGCGCGAAAGCUAGGGGAGCGAACGGGAUUAGAAACCCUAGUAGUCC
rnacentral:rRNA from 1 species